AUGCCUUCUAUCUACAUAAACAUUGUAUUAGCAUUUACCAUUUCACUUCUAGGGAUAUUGAUCUAUUGCUCACACCUGAUAUCCUACCUACUAUGCCUGGAGGGAAUAAUAUUCUCAUUAUUUAUUAUAAAUACUCUUACAACUUUAAAUAUACACUCACCCUUAAUCAGUAUUAUGCCUAUUGCCCUGUUAGUGUUCACCACCUGCGAGGAAGCAGUAGGCCUUGCUUUACUAGUCUCGAUCUCCAGCACAUGUGGCUUAGACUAUGUAUACAAUUUAAACUUACUCCAAUGC
rnacentral:lncRNA from 1 species